rnacentral:rRNA from 1 species
UUUUACUAGCCACCCUGAACAAGCCCAAUCCCGUCUGAUCUUGGAAGCUAAACAGGGUCAGGCCCAGUUAGUACUUGGAUGGGAGACCACCUAGGAAGACCAGGUGCCGUAGAUG